rnacentral:rRNA from 1 species
CCUACGGGCGGCAGCAGUAGGGAAUAUUGCUCAAUGGGGGAAACCCUGAAGCAGCAACGCCGCGUGGAGGAUGAAGGUUUUCGGAUUGUAAACUUCUUUUGUUAGAGAAGAUAAUGACGGUAUCUAACGAAUAAGCACCGGCUAACUCCGUGCCAGCAGCCGCGGUAAUACGGAGGGUGCAAGCGUUACUCGGAAUCACUGGGCGUAAAGAGCGCGUAGGCGGGAUAGCAAGUCAGAUGUGAAAUCCUAUGGCUUAACCAGAGAACUGCAUUUGAAACUGUUAUUCUAGAGUAUGGGAGAGGUAGGUGGAAUUCUUGGUGUAGGGGUAAAAUCCGUAGAGAUCAAGAGGAAUACUCGUUGCGAAGGCGACCUGCUGGAACAUAACUGACGCUGAUGCGCGAAAGCGUGGGGAGCAAACAGGAUUAGAUACCCGUGUAGUC